rnacentral:misc_RNA from 1 species
AGCAAGAUACUGAGGAUGGUGAUUGUGAGAACUUGAAAGGGUUCUGCAAAAAUGGCAUAGAACUCCUUGGCUUUUUGUUGCCCACUGGUCUGCUGCCAAAGCAUAUUGACCUGAAAUCUAAACUUGAUUACAUGGUAAGAAACAUGGAAUGAAGUCUAUUUAUAUGACCAAAUAGCCAUGGCUCUGGCAAAUGAAAUAUAAGAAUGUAAAGUUGUUGCCACGUCCCUAGUUAAACUUAGUCAACAGAAGACAUGGUCUUUAUAGAUACGCUCUAUGUGCCCUCGUGCAACCUUAUUUUGCUGGCACGCGAUGUUAUUAUUCUUAUCCGUUGGAUUUUUUUUUAUUUUUU